GCCACAAUAUAGAAACACAAUUCCACAUACCACAAAUAAAGAUGAAAAAGGGCAAUCAUAUGAUCAGAGUUUGAUUAAGCCUCCAAUGGGUAUGACCGCAUCUGUUCCAGAAACGCACUCAUCUUCAACAAAUGGAAUGGUUUUCCAUGCGGUUAAUCUUACUGGAACUUUCAUCCCAACUUUGAUGGAUUUAUCUUUUUCCAUGCAAAUAGCAGCAUAAUGAGAACCGACCAAUUCUAAUAGGGCAAACUGCCAACUGCUUGUGAGGCUCUUAGGAUCAUUU
rnacentral:misc_RNA from 1 species